UUCUCAUGUCCCCGCAUGGGAAGCUAGGGCUAACAGACGGGAGCUCACCCUAUCUUGCGGAUUCGAACCUCCAAUCUUCUGGUCAGCAGUUCAGAUGGCACAAGGGUUUAACCCACUGCACCACCAGGAACUCAAGGUGGCUAACAACAGCAUGAUACAACUCAAUAAAAUUUAAAAACAAAGGUGAUAGGAAGAUAAUCAACUCAUUUGAAAUGUGGUGCUGGAGAAAAGUUUUGAGGACCCCAUGGACUACUAAAAAGUAAUAAAUGGGUUCGAGCCUGUACUUUCCCUAGAAGCUAAGAUAACCAAACUUAGGCUGUCAUACUUUGGACAUAUCACGAGAAAGACGUCACUCACUAGAAAGUCAACAAUGCUUGGUAAAAUGGAAGGCAGUAGGAAAAGAGUAAGACUCAAUUCCAGAGGGACAGACUCAGUCAGGGAAGCCACAGUUCUGAGUCUGCAGGAUCUGAGCAGGUCUACUGAUGACAAGAAUGGAUGACUAGCUUUUCCAUCAGAAGAAACUUGGAGGCCGGCCACAAAUGAAGUCAACAAAUCAGAACAUGAUUCAAAGUUUUGCAGAAUUCCAGCAGUCCCUCCAAAGGAAUGCAAAUCCAUAUCUUUUGUUCGCCACCUGGGAACUCAAAUGUGCACUGCCCCAUGAAAGAAAUGUUGCAGCCAAAUGACACCACUGGAAUGUUAUCGGCAUUUGCUAAACUCUAUUGCACUAAUAUGAGCCCAGUGGCACACACAAAAUAAUUAACAUUAUCUUAAUUUACAUGUUCAGAAAACCACUCCUAAGCCUCCAUUAAAUGGAGAAACACA